GAUGAACGCUGGCGGCGUGCCUAAUACAUGCAAGUCGAGCGAAUGGAUUAAGAGCUUGCUCUUAUGAAGUUAGCGGCGGACGGGUGAGUAACACGUGGGUAACCUGCCCAUAAGACUGGGAUAACUCCGGGAAACCGGGGCUAAUACCGGAUAACAUUUUGAACCGCAUGGUUCGAAAUUGAAAGGCGGCUUCGGCUGUCACUUAUGGAUGGACCCGCGUCGCAUUAGCUAGUUGGUGAGGUAACGGCUCAACAAGGCAACGAUGCGUAGCCGACCUGAGAGGGUGAUCGGCCACACUGGGACUUGAACACGGCCCAGACUCCUACGGGAGGCAGCAGUAGGGAAUCUUCCGCAAUGGACGAAAGUCUGACGGAGCAACGCCGCGUGAGUGAUGAAGGCUUUCGGGUCGUAAAACUCUGUUGUUAGGGAAGAACAAGUGCUAGUUGAAUAAGCUGGCACCUUGACGGUACCUAACCAGAAAGCCACGGCUAACUACGUGCCAGCCGCCGCCGUAA
rnacentral:rRNA from 1 species